CUUCAUCGAGUGCGCCAUGAACUCAACCGGAACGCUCGUCAAUGGAGUUCUGGAUCAGCCGAAAAUUGUGCAGCUUAUCACAACUCGCACCGCAGGAGUCAGUUCCGAUUUGACACAGGUUAUGGUCGCUAGUUGUGUCAAAUGUUUUCUGACGCCACUUGUUAUGGGCAAUCAUUCUGGACAUCCGCUUGACAGUAAGCACUGUCGGCCUGCGGCGUCAAUUUUUGUGAGUUGUGUUAACAUGGAGAUGUUCAAGAUGUGCUUACCGGAGUUCUGGACCAACAGCGAUAGCUGCAACAACUUACGAUUACACAUCACCAACUGUCCCAUUCCAGCGUAAAAAAAUCACGGAUGGCGUCUCAUCUCACAAACUUUAUUUCAUAAGAUAGAGUAUAAAAAUAACAUUAGUUGAUUAUGUACACAGUAAAUUGGUUAAGCUCGUAUCUACGCGUAGAAAAUAAUAAACCUAACAAUCCUAAGGAA